CAAUAACUCAUUAUUCAUCUACUGUAUUCCAAGUGGCAUUCAAAUUACAACAGUACUAUAGAUUAUUGAUAUAGGUGAAAUUGAAAUUGAAGUGAUGUUGCAGAUCCCAUUAUUUAUUAUACUUUAUGUCAAAGUAAAUUGCCCACAAUAAUAUUGAGAGAGAAGCCCAACCUUUUCUCACACUCAUAGUCAUAGAAAAGUUAAACUACUCAGCAGCAGGUGCUAUGCAGACGAUUUCAAAGGAGUACCUUCUCCUUUGUUGUUCCCAGGACAUUCUCAUCAAAUUUGAAUCUCAAGACUAUACACUCUCCCUUCCUCUAAAUCCAUGUCUUAAUGCCUCACCAUUUUGGUAAUCUUGAAGUGGGUCAACUGGAUUUGGGAUUAUGAACAUUUUGAUGAAUGUUGAGCAGAAAGGGCAAUAUGAACAAUAACCUAGAUCCUGGAAGAGAAUUUUUUUCGCUAUAACAUAUGUUUUAGUCCAUAAUGUUAUGGUUGAAAACUUUCAAAUAGGUGUACCAUGUUUUAGUAAUUUUCAGUUAUACCUUUCACCUGCGAAUUUAGCAUAGGACCCGGGGCGAGCCUCCCUCAACUUUAUCGUUUUAUAUUAUAUAUAAAGAAAACUACUUAAUUAUUAAUA